GAUGAAGAACGUAGCGAAAUGCGAUAAGUAAUGUGAAUUGCAGAAUUCAGUGAAUCAUCGAAUCUUUGAACGCACCUUGCGCCCUUUGGCUAUUCCGAAGGGCAUGCCUGUUUGAGUAUCAUGAACACCUCAACUCUUCAUGGUUUUCCAUGAAGGGCUUGGACUUUGGGGGUCUUGCUGGCCUUUAGUCAGCUCCUCUCAAACGAAUCAGCUUUCCAGUGUUUGGCAGCGUCACAGGUGUGAUAACGAUCUACGCUUGUGGUUUUCUGCCAGGUAAUCCUCAGUGAUGGGGAUUCGCUGGGGCUUAUAAAUGUCUCUCCUCAGCGAAGACAGCUUUGUGAACGUUUGAGCGCAAAUCAGGUAGGACUACCCGCUGAACUUAAGCAUAUCAAUAAGCGGAGGA
rnacentral:misc_RNA from 1 species